GGCAAGACACAAAAAUGUAUCUGCAGAAAAAACAUCCAGGAGAAUUGAAAUUGGAUGGCUUCACUUCGGCCGUAAUGGAUAUCAACAAGUGAGGACCAAUAAUGGUGGUGGCACUAGGCAUUUGACAGUUCAAAAAAAGACAACUGUUUUACAAAUAAUGGAAAUGGGAAAGGACUUUUUUUUCCCAAAUGGAGAGUCACCAAAAGAUCCAGAAACAGACUUCACCUUUCAUGUUUGUGAUUUUAAAAGAAACCACAUUCCCAUGGACAGCACUGUUGGAGAUCUGCAUGAACUAACCAAACUGAAAUUGUUGAGAUUUUACAGAGACCUACUGCAAAAGUGUCUUGGCAUGGACAUGAAAGUGAUCUUGAGGAUAUAAGCACACAUUUAUUGGAUGACAGACUUUCAUAUAACAAAGACACCAAGAGGAAGAGAAAAGUAAGGACAGAAGCCCAGAGUACAACAGGAAAGUGGUUAUACCUUAGAGACAACCAGCACAUCACACGACUCUCUUUCAACACCCAGAGAUAUCCAAAGAACACACACCAUCCAAAGACUUGCAAGCAGCUCAAGUGAUGAGGAGACUGAUAAAUUGGGGAGACAGUGUGCACAGCUAUCGAAAAGACCACAGCAUACACAUGAGCUCUUUGAUUUUCAGAUAAGCUAUGAAAUCAUUGACUUGCCCAAUCAGAUUCCUCCGGUACACAACAGCAUAGUUCAAAAUCUUGGAGAUGAUGAUGAUAAAGAAGACAAAGUUGAAUGGAAUGAAGGCGAAGAACUUGAACAAACAGAUGAGGACCAAGAUGUUAAAAUAACAUGGAAUGAGAACAUCAUACAGCACUGUUGUACUGUGGCACAAAUAAAGGAGGGGGCACGUGCGCUCUCUCUGUCCGACGGCGCCGCUCAACUAUGUUCUGAGACAGGGUAAGCUCAUUCCGUAAAGGAGUAUUUUUGUUUUUUACCACUUUUUAAUAAUUUAAAAUUUAGGGAUUAUAAUUUGAAAAUCAUUUUAACCCUAACAAAACAUUGACCGUGUCUCAUUGUGAUCACUGAUUCAGAGAGAGUCCGACAGAUGGAGCUGCGAGCCCGUUUCUCACAAAG